ACACAUGCAAGUCGAGCGGUAGCACAGGAGAGCUUGCUCUCUGGGUGACGAGCGGCGGACGGGUGAGUAAUGUCUGGGAAACUGCCUGAUGGAGGGGGAUAACUACUGGAAACGGUAGCUAAUACCGCAUGACCUCGCAAGAGCAAAGUGGGGGACCUUCGGGCCUCACGCCAUCGGAUGUGCCCAGAUGGGAUUAGCUAGUAGGUGGGGUAAUGGCUCACCUAGGCGACGAUCCCUAGCUGGUCUGAGAGGAUGACCAGCCACACUGGAACUGAGACACGGUCCAGACUCCUACGGGAGGCAGCAGUGGGGAAUAUUGCACAAUGGGCGCAAGCCUGAUGCAGCCAUGCCGCGUGUGUGAAGGAAGGCCUUAGGGUUGUAAAGCACUUUCAGCGAGGAGGAAGGGUUCAGUGUUAAUAGCACUGUACAUUGACGUUACUCGCAGAAGAAGCACCGGCUAACUCCGUGCCAGCAGCCGCGGUAAUACGGAGGGUGCAAGCGUUAAUCGGAAUUACUGGGCGUAAAGCGCGCGCAGGCGGUUUGUUAAGUCAGAUGUGAAAUCCCCGAGCUUAACUUGGGAACUGCAUUUGAAACUGGCAAGCUAGAGUCUUGUAGAGGGGGGUAGAAUUCCAGGUGUAGCGGUGAAAUGCGUAGAGAUCUGGAGGAAUACCGGUGGCGAAGGCGGCCCCCUGGACAAAGACUGACGCUCAGGUGCGAAAGCGUGGGAGCAAAC
rnacentral:rRNA from 1 species